rnacentral:misc_RNA from 1 species
GAAAUGCGAUAAGUAAUGUGAAUUGCAGAAUUCAGUGAAUCAUCGAAUCUUUGAACGCACCUUGCGCUCCUUGGUAUUCCUUGGAGCAUGCCUGUUUGAAUAUCAUGAAAUCUUCAAAGUAAAUCUUUUGUUAACUCAAUUGGUUUCUACUUUGGUAUUGGAGGUCUUUGCAGCUUCACACCUGCUCCUCUUUGUUCAUUAGCUGGAUCUCAGUGUUAUGCUUGGUUCCACUCGGCGUGAUAAGUUAUCUAUCGCUGAGGACACUGUAAAAGGUGGCCAAGGUAAAUGCAGAUGAACCGCUUCUAAUAGUCCAUUGACUUGGACAAUACUUUUAUGAUCUGAUCUCAAAUCAGGUAGGACUACCCGCUGAACUUAAGC